rnacentral:lncRNA from 1 species
ACUGUCAUACAACAUCCAUGAGCAUGCACAAAAUUAAACCUGACAUACUUAACAUUGACAUGUUCAUAUUACACUAACAAGCUUAAACCUAACAUGCUGAACACCUUCUUAACAUCUUCACUCCUCCUUCUUCUCCUUCAUCAACCUGAUGCGCUCAGAGUGGCGAAUCCCAACGCGGAUGUACUCCUCUACCACAAUUGGCAUGGUCCUGUCGCCAAGCUGUGGGAUUGCAGGCGCCGCCACCAUCGCGAGGUCGUCAUCCGCCACCACCAUAGCAAGGUCGUUGUCCGCCACCACCAUCGCGAGGUCGUCGUCCGCCACCACCAUAGCAAGGACGUCGUCCGCCACCACCAUAGCAAGGUCGUCAUCCGCCACCACCAUAGCAGGGUCGUCGUCAGCCACCACCAUAGCAUGUUCGUC